rnacentral:rRNA from 1 species
GAUGAACGCUGGCGGCGUGCUUAACACAUGCAAGUCGAACGAUGAAGCCCAGCUUGCUGGGUGGAUUAGUGGCGAACGGGUGAGUAACACGUGAGUAACCUGCCCUUGACUCUGGGAUAAGCCUUGGAAACUGGGUCUAAUACUGGAUAUGACUUCUCAUCGCAUGGUGGGGGGUGGAAAGAUUUAUUGGUCUUGGAUGGACUCGCGGCCUAUCAGCUUGUUGGUGAGGUAAUGGCUCACCAAGGCGACGACGGGUAGCCGGCCUGAGAGGGUGACCGGCCACACUGGGACUGAGACACGGCCCAGACUCCUACGGGAGGCAGCAGUGGGGAAUAUUGCACAAUGGGCGCAAGCCUGAUGCAGCGACGCCGCGUGAGGGAUGACGGCCUUCGGGUUGUAAACCUCUUUCAGUAGGGAAGAAGCGAGAGUGACGGUACCUGCAGAAGAAGCGCCGGCUAACUACGUG